rnacentral:pre_miRNA from 1 species
CUGAAUGAAGAUCUCCGCCAAUCUUGGUGUUGACGGUCGGUGGGAUUUUCGUUCGGUC